UUUAAAAUUCGUUUUCUUUGCAUGAAUUUAAAGAUCUAUCAUCAGAGAAUAGAUCCAACUAAUUUCCUUCUCAAAAUACUCUAUCAAUUCACUCGAAAUUAUUUUCCAAAGUAGCCAAAAAUAUUCUAAAAUUUCUCAAGUUUCUUGAAUCAAGAUUUUCAAUCAACGAAUUUAGAGCGAAUCAAAGCAUUGGAAAGGUGACAAUGUCUACUUUAUCUCUGUUGAAGCUCCAAAUCUUAAAGAAGACCGAGCUAAUCGGAAUUGAAGCUUGGAUUCGCUUGGUUGAUCACUUGUUUGUGGUAGAAUAAAUUGUGUGGUGAGUGUUUCUAAGGGCGAUUUGGUAAAUUCACUCUCAUUUAUGUUUAAUUUGUAGCUUAAUUGAUAGUUUCAAUUGAUUAAUUAUGGUUGAAUGGCUGAUUUUUGCAAGAUUGAUAUUAUAUGUACAAGAGUUGAAUUUUUAUUGAAUAAUGGUAAGUAAGCAUUUAAGUGGUUUUGUGAAAUUUAAUUAGGUUAAUUAUAUUGAUGAUUAAAGCAUGUUUAUUGGAGUUUUUUUAUCAUGAUAUAUUGGUGUUACAAUUGGUGAUUGAACAUUGGAAAAUGGCAAAUGAAGUGCUUGAUUUAAUUGGAUGUUAAAUGGCUAUGUUACAUGUUAAACAUAAGCAUUUUGUCACAUUAAAUUAAGCACAAUAAUGACUAAUUUAUAUGCUAUGUUUAGCUGAAUAUAUUGGCAACAUGCAUGGUGGAUCCAUUGGAUAUAGUUGGCAUGCCAUAGGAUUUAUGAGUUCUCACCUUUAUUUGUGACAUUGUAAGCAUAUGGCUUUAGGUGGACUGAUUUGUUAGGAGUAGAUAAAGGAGUGUUGAGCAGGAGUCUCCACCCAUUAGGUUAUUUGAGGCACUAUAAGGGAGAAUGUGCUUCGGCCACUCAACUCAGUGUAUUGUAUUUGAUAUUUGUGGGAGUUUGGAGAUCUGUUUAUUUGAUGUAUGAUCACCCGAUUAAGCCAUGAGAAGUGUAUGCCAAUAUAUUUAGGUGUGAUUAUUGUUAUAUCAUUCGAUGUUUGUAAGCCAUGAAUAAUUGAUUCUUGAUAUUGAUAAAACAUAUGGAAAUUAAAUUGACAUGUUUCUUUAUUAUGGCUGAUAAUUGAUAAUUGAUUGAAUGUGGUUUAAGCAUGAUUUGAAUGUUGAUUUAUUAGUCAUUUUUAUUAACAUUCAUUGAGCUUUUUAAAGCUCACACCCUCACAAUUCGUGCAUAUAAUUGUUGGGCUUGAGGAGCAGAGCAUGAGAGUUCCAAGAGAUUUAGGCUUGGUAGAGACUUUAUUACAAAUUUUAAAGACUAUAAUCGGGCAUUGUGGAACUCCCGAGAAUUAGUUUAAUUUUGGUUGUAAUUGGACAUUGGACAUUUUAUUUUGAAUGAUUUUAUAAUAAUUUUGAGGCAUGUUUGAGUUUAAUUAUUGAAUGAUAUAACAUGGUGAUUGAUAACACGAUGUGUGAGGCAUGAAAUUUAUACUAACGAUUGUUUAAAUGAAGCUUCCAUGGAGUGGGUUACUAGCGGCUAAGGUAUUCCACUUGUUUGAUUUAUUUGGAAUUUGUUAUGCACAAAAUUGAUUGCCUAAUUCUAUACAAUUGAGGCUUAAUUGAUGUUAGUAAAUUCAAUUAAAGGUGUAUGUAUAUGUAUUUUAAUUAAUUAUAGUUAAAUCAGGUUUAAUUGACUAUUAAAAUAUGCAAAAUCGGGUUUUAAAAUGAGUUUUUUGCAAAAACAGGUGUAGUGGUUUUCACAUGGGCGUGUGAGAGGUUGCACACGGGUGUGUGGGUAAGUGACACGGGGGUGUGAAGACUAGAGUUAUUACACACGGGCGGUGCAACCGUUCUAAAAGUUUUUCAUGAUGCGAACACGUUUGUUUAAUGACACAUGGUCUGGGGGACACGUCCGUGUGGGUUUUGGGAUUUGAAUUUUUAUCUUUUUAAAUUAGUAUUCUAAUUUGUUUAAGUUACAAUUUAGUCCUAAAAUUGAUUAGUCUAAUUAAAGCCUUAGAUGAUAAGGAAACUUAGUAAAAUUUUAAAAUUAGUCUCGUAAUGGGUAAAAUGCAAUAGGAAUGCAGUUAAUUUAUAAUUUGGAAUAGGUCCCAAUAGUUUAUAUUUGUUACAAUUUAGUCCCUAGUAAUAAAACAUGAAUUAGACAUAGUAAACAAACUCAAAUUAAGUUGAAACUUUUAGGCUUGCAUAAUUUGACUAAAAGAAGGUCGGUAAAAACUUAGAUCUAAAAUCAGGUUAGUUUUACCAUAGGUGGUAAAAUGACGAAAAUGCCCUUAGGUUAAAUUACCUAUGAAAAGUUUAAAAUUGGAUUAUAGUUUGCUUCCGCAUUAAUAAAUAACUAAUAAUUAGAUAAGAUUGAGGUAUUAUAAGGUCGGGGUGUGUCUUAGGUGGUCGUUAGCUGGAGAAUCACUUAGGUGGCUAAUGUAAUGCUUCGAAUUUGGGUCGGUCUGUCCCGGUCGGGUUUAAGGGUGCCACACUGAUCAUAAUUUGUAAGAGAUUUCAAACAAGCUCUCAAUCCAAAGCAAGAAUUUUACUUGUGUGUCUUAUUUUGAGUUAUAUGCGAGGACAAGGGAUUCGACGAUGUAGGUUAGUGAGUAGUGAGAAGAAAUGGAGCAACAUUAUCGAUGAAAUAUCAAUAAUGGAUUGAAAGUUAACCCCAACUUUCAAUGACUUGUUGGCAAAUUCAUGAUUAUUCAUGAGCACUUAUUAGAAAGUGAUGAUUUAUUCAAAAGAUGCAUUUGAUUCCAUGAGACAUGUUUUUCUAAGAAGUAUGUCCAAUGGAAAUCAAACAUAAAAUAUUGUGACUCUUUAAAAUAGUGUCUAUUAAGUGUAUAUAAAUAGAGGGUCUAUAGUGCUCACAAAUCAAAAUUACAAUCAAUCCUAUUUUUCAGAAAUUAAAUUAAGAGUUAGGAAAUUCCUCGAUUUUUCUAAUUAAAAUUAAAAUCAAUCCUAUUUUUCAGAAAUUAAAUUAAGAGUUAGGGAAUUCCUCGAUUUUUCUAAUCAAAGGAAAUUCAAAAGCUUCGUUGUAUCCCUGGAGAACCUUUGUCUUAACCCUUUAGCAACUUUGUGUGGGGACAAAUAGUUCUCUUUGGAAAGCGUCAGCCGCGUCUCGAACUCUUCUGUUUAUUUCAAUAUAUUCUCCAGAUCUAUUUUUUCCAUUCUAGAUAUCCAAUAAUUAAAGAGAACUAAUUUAGAGAUGGCGAUAGAGGCUACCAUCGCAUUCAAAGUGAUGAACCAAGAGUUUGUGAAACUUAACCGAUUUGAUGGUUCAAACUUUAAUUGUUAGAAGGACAAGAUGUUGUUCCUUUUUACUGUCUUAAAUGUGGUGUACGUUCUGGAUCCAAACCUACAACUCGUGGAGGAUCCCGCCCCCAAUGCAAACCCCAAAGAAAUUAUGAAAGUGGCUGAACUCAAGAAGAAGCGUGAAGAAAACAAUUUCAUAUGUCGAGGACACAUUUUCAACACCUUGUCUAAUCGAUUGUAUGAUCUUUACAUGUUGAUGCAAUCCCCGGUGGAAACACGAAAAGCUCUUGAAGAGAAUACAACACUGAGCGAUAAGGGAUGCAAUUUGGGGCUAAAUAGAAGAAAAAGUAAACAAUUGGGCCAAAUUGAAGAAAGAAGCAAAGAAGGAGGGCCAAAGCAGAAUUUUUCCAAGAUUAAUUAGCUGAAAUUUUUGUUGACUUAGUGGGAGAUUAUUUUGGGAUAUUUUUUAUAUCAUGGAAUAUUUUCCCUUGAUUUUCUAUACUAGUUGGCUCUUAAUUUAGCAAGGCCACUAGUAUAAAUAGAGGCUACAUUGUUCAUUUUAAUCAUCAAUUGAAAUAUCAAGCUUUCAUCUUUCAAUACAUUCUCUCCUUUCUAUUCACGAAUUUAUUGUCUUU